rnacentral:rRNA from 1 species
UACGGAGGGUGCGAGCGUUAAUCGGAUUUACUGGGCGUAAAGAGCGCGCAGGCGGUCGUGCAAGUCGCGUGUGAAAGCCCCCGGCUCAACUGGGGAGGGUCACGCGAUACUGCUCGACUCGAAGGCAGGAGAGGGAAGCGGAAUUCCCGGUGUAGUGGUGAAAUGCGUAGAUAUCGGGAGGAACACCAGUGGCGAAGGCGGCUUCCUGGCCUGUUCUUGACGCUGAGGCGCGAAAGCUAGGGGAGCAAACGGG